rnacentral:rRNA from 1 species
GGGUCAGUAGGUUGGUCGUGCCACCGGUACGUACUGUUCUCACUGAUUCCUCCUUCCUGAAGAACCGUAAUGCCAUUAAUUUGGUGUUGCGGGGAAACAGGACUUUUACUUUGAAAAAAUUAGAGUGUUUAAAGCAAGCUAACGCUUGAAUACAUUAGCAUGGAAUAAUGAAAUAGGACGAUCGAUCCUAUUUUGUUGGUUUCUAGGAUUGACGUA